rnacentral:rRNA from 1 species
CGAUACCUAGUGUGAAUUGCAGAAUUCCGCGAAUCAUCGAGUUUUUGAACGCAUAUUGCGCCCGAGGCUCGCGCCAAGGGCACGUCUGUCUGAGCGUCA